rnacentral:rRNA from 1 species
GAUGAACGCUCGCGGCAGGCCUAACACAUGCAAGUCGAGGGAGAGGUUACCUUCGGGUAACCAAAACCGGCGCACGGGUGCGUAACGCGUAUACAAUCUGCCUUUCACAUAGGGAUAGCCCGAAGAAAUUUGGAUUAAUACCUAAUGGUAUAUAAAAGCGGCAUCGUUUUUAUAUUAAAGCUACGGUAGUGAAAGAUGAGUAUGCGUUCUAUUAGCUAGUUGGAGAGGUAACGGCUCCCCAAGGCGACGAUCGAUAGGGGUUCUGAGAGGGAUGUCCCCCACACUGGUACUGAGAUAUGGGCCAGCAUGCCACGGGAGGUAGCAGUGUGGAAUAUGGGACGAUGGUCGGACGACUGUGCAAGCCAUGCCGAGUGCAGGAUGUUGGGGCUAUGGAAUGCUAACUGACUUUGUAAGGAAGAAUAAGAGAUACGUAUAGUUUCAUGACGGUACCUGACGAAUAAGCAUCGGCUAACUCCGUG